AUCUUCCUCUGGAGCCACAGGCUGAAUUGCUCACGGCGUAUUCUAAAACAUUUGAGCUCCCUAAUCUCAGGGUUCUUUAUCUGUUACGUAACCCGUUGAGUUUAUAGGUGUCUGCUGGCUUUCAUCUUGUUGCCCUUUGGGAACUGGAACUUCUGGAACCACCAGUCCAGAUGUUUAUGAUACUUAAAGGAACUAGAGAUGCUGAAACUCUUAGAAGCUGACAUAUUAAGAGCACCAACUAGAAGAACUCACAUCUUUAAAUUGCAUCAUUUUGCCCACCCUACUGCAGCUGUGAGAAGGAUAGCAGUCCAACAUCUUUUCAGGCACUCUGGCUACCCUGAGGAGAAUGGAAUGCAGAAGGGCAAGGACAGAGGUAGAACAAUGAAUUAGGAGCUAUGAUAGUAGACCAGG